UUUUUUUUACUUUUUCUCCCCAAAGCCCCCCAGUACAUAGUUGUAUAUUCUUCGUUGUGGGUCCUUCUAGUUGUGGCAUGUGGGACGCUGCCUCAGCGUGGUUUGAUGAGCAGUGUCAUGUCCGCGCCCAGGAUUCGAACCAACGAAACGCUGGGCGGCCUGCAGCGGAGCGCGCGAACUUAACCACUCGGCCAGGGGGCCAGCCCCAUGUUUUGCUCUUUUUUUUAAAUAGAAAUAAAUAAAAAUCACUGUAGCAGAACAGCCAAACUGCUUUGCCCCUACAGAUGAUCUAUGGCAUAUAUAUGUGUGUAUAUACUGCGAGAGAGAGCGUCUACACAUUUUCUUAAAGGAGAGUGGGAGAAAAUUAUAAGCAAAUUAAGAGUUUGACUUCCACCUAUUAUUCAGUUGUAUCUCACGCUAGAAAAUGAAACUAACCAAUGUAAAAUAAGCAUGAACACCUUCUUGGUUAGCACGUUGGUAAUAUUUAAACAACAAGGAGCAUAACAUAAUCUCCAAAGUAUUGCUUUGCCCCAUACCCUUCCUCCUCUCCCCGAAAAGAGCAGGAAUUUGUGGAACAGGAUUAGAAAGACCAGGAAACUGACACUCAGCGGUGUGUACUCUUACGACAGCACCUAACCCAUGGAGAAGAAGAGUCAUCAAUUUUGACCUUCAUGUGACCUUCUGUACCUUUCCAAUGGAUGAGGGUUUGGAGACUUAAGCGGAAUUCAUCGUCAACAGCCUUAACCAUAAAAUUCACCAAACAGGUUAGCAUAAACGGUCUUACAAUUUAGUAGAAAGUUUGACGGCCAUUUAUUUAGUACAAAUAAUCAAAUGUUUUCCAAACUUUAGAAUCAUUCUAAGUUUCACCAUACAAUUUUUUUCCUUUACGUUGACUCAUGUAUAAAGUGUUUGAUUCCUUAAAUAAAAGUAUUUCAAAAAGCAACCAUCGCUAUUGUAAAAAGAAAAGUCAGUAUGACUUGGCGUAAAUAGAAGUUAUCCACUGAAACAUCUUCGUUAACACAAAUGGUAACAAACCCUACCUGGGUGCACUGUUGCCCACCAAAGCGUUAGAGAGGUGUCAGAGGUCACCAACCCCAAGCAAGGGCAUUCUCCUUGACGUAAUCAAAAAGACUGAAUAAGAAUUGAAAGGGGAGUAACUUUCCCACUAGAGGGCUCAUUGCUGUUUCAUGCUGUGUCCCCGUGUACCUAAAAUCAUCCCGUUUCAGAAACAAUGCAGAGGGGCCGGCCCACUGGCAUAGUGGUUAAGCUUGCAUGUUUCACUUCUGCGGCCUGGGCUUUGCCGGUUCGGAUCCCGGGGGUGGACCUAGCACUGCUUCUCAAGCCAUGCUGAGGCAGGCAUCCCACAUAUAAAGUCGAGGAAGAUGGGCACAGAUGUUAGCUGAGGGCCAGUCUUCCUCAGCAAAAAGAGGAGGAUUGGCAGUGGAUGUUAGCUCAGGGCCAAUCUUCCUCAAAAAAAAAAGAAAGAAAGAAAGAAAGAAACACUGCAGAGUCCCCCUGCCUCUCCCUCUUAGAGCUCCUGAAGGAAGGUAAUUACCACUUCUCCCUAAACCUAAAGAAACCCAUUUUACUGUCUGGUGGAGGAGGUCAAACCUUAACAGCACUCAUGCACUCAGCGCACUACCUUUCAAAACCUACCGAAGUUCAACAGAUCUAAUCCCUGAAGGAAAAGGCCACUUCACCUCCACUAAAUGUUUUCCAACAGAAGAGCUGGAGGAAGCCACGGAUCGGGAGGAGAACACAGAAUGGGAAACAAUUAAGGAAUACUGUAGGUGAAGCUUCCUCCAAAGGCACUUACUUGGCAGAGGCCUGAGCAGCCACUCGGAUGGCUGGGGUCUGGUUCUGUGCUAGAGGGGGUGACUUUUCUUCUCCGAGGCUGGGGUGGGCGCACUCUCGGGGGGCACUGACUGCUGGGCCUGAGUGGCUGGAACUGGGGCCUCCGGGAGUGGGGAUGUGGGGUCAGGGUGAUCUUGACUUAGCUUCUGGCUGGCUGGUGGCAGACUCUCAAAAGCCUGAGCCCCGGGCUGCUUAUGAAACUCCUGGGCAGAUGAAGCCUGGCCUGGAGCAAUCUCUUGAACCCAAGAGCCGCUCUGGGGGGCCUGCUGGGUGUGAUCCAGGGCCUGCAAGUCAUGAACAGCUGGGCCGACCUGCAAGUCCAUAGGCUGGGUCUGAAAAGGCUGGGUGGGCAGAAGCUGAAUCAAAGAGAGCAGGGUGGCCCCAGCGUGGGCUUGGGAAACCUGCACAGGUGGAGGCUGAGUUUGAGAGGCCUGAGAAAGAUUCUGGAGCUGGCUCUGGGAAGCUAGAGGGACUGGGAGGUGGCUCUGUACAGCCACAGGCACUGGGGGGUCGCUCUGAGAGUCCACAGGCAGCGCGAGGUGGGUCUGUGCAGCCACAGGCAGCAGGAAGUGGCUCCGAGAGGCCACAGGCACCAUGGGCUGGCUCGUAGAGGCCCCAGAAAUGACAAGCUGGCUCUCGGAAGUAAGAACAGGCAGAGGCUGGCAAGUGGAGGCCAAGGAGACUACAGGCAGGCUCUUGGAGGGGAGGAUGGCUGGAGGCACGGGCUGGUCCGGAGGAGACAGAGUGGACUCGGACUGCACCAGAUGAGCCGAUGGUCGUUUAAUAAGCCGUGGCAGCCCAGCCUCGGGGCCCGGAGGACUAGCGUCAGGGCCUGCAGGGCGAGGUGCCUCGGAACUUUCGACGGUUUCAGGUUGGGGGCCCAGAGCCUCUCUGCAAACGUCUUGGGCGUCGCCGCUCUCUCGGACACCUUGCAUCCCGUCUUUGUCCUGGGCCUCCUCCUCUAGCUGUUUCUCCACCUCGCCAGUGACGGUCAUAUCCAGAGAAGCCCUCCUCUGAAGGAUCCUCCUGGUGCGCCGCCGCCGCAUGCGCAGGAAGGUGGUGGAGACGCCGCAGACCGCCAAAGAGAGGCGGUGGCCGACGCCCUGUCUGAGGGCUUCCACCGUGGUGGCGGAGGGCACGGGGAAGGGGCUCUUCAGGGCCUCCUCGGGAGUCAGUUCGAUGUUGCCCGUGUACCAGGAGACCCACCAGAGGAGGCUGAAGACGAUGAUGAUGGCACCCAGGUAGAGCAGCAGGUCGUAGAAGAACAGGUCGGCGAAGAUGCCGGUGAACAGCACCGUCAGGCCCACCGUGUCGAAGACGACGCCCAGCCAGAAGAAAUGCCGGCAGCGGCCCAGGCCCGUCCGCUUCCUGGUCCCACCGACGGUGUUUCCUGAACUCUCCAUGAGCCCCCACGAUCGCCGCCUCCAGAUCCGCAGAGGCGACCUGGCCGGCGGCGCCGCCGCAGGCCGGCUGUGGCCGCUGGGUCGCCAUGGCAAC
ensembl:lncRNA